AGCAGCCAAGGCAGAAAGAGCUCUCUGAGCAAGGAUGCAAGAACUGCAGUAUCUCGGGUGAAGAAGUCUUCCUGCAUUUCCACUGUUGCUGUUGAAGACCUUUCCCGUGCUGCCCAUCAACCCUUGAAGAACCAGUAAAUCAGCAUGUUUCCUCGCUUGGACAGAUGAACAAAUGGCAGCCUGUAUCUCAAAAUGACCAC